GUGGGGAAUAUUGGACAAUGGGCGAAAGCCUGAUCCAGCCAUGCCGCGUGUGUGAAGAAGGUCUUCGGAUUGUAAAGCACUUUAAGUUGGGAGGAAGGGCAGUAAGUUAAUACCUUGCUGUUUUGACGUUACCGACAGAAUAAGCACCGGCUAACUUCGUGCCAGCAGCCGCGGUAAUACGAAGGGUGCAAGCGUUAAUCGGAAUUACUGGGCGUAAAGCGCGCGUAGGUGGGUUUGGAAGUUGGAGGUGAAAUCCCCGGGCUCAACCUGGGAACUGCCUCCAAAACUGAAUGACUAGAGUACGGUAGAGGGUAGUGGAAUUUCCUGUGUAGCGGUGAAAUGCGUAGAUAUAGGAAGGAACACCAGUGGCGAAGGCGACUACCUGGACUGAUACUGACACUGAGGUGCGAAAGCGUGGGGAGCAAACAGGAUUAGAAACCCCGGUAGUCC
rnacentral:rRNA from 1 species